ensembl:lncRNA
CGCACACGCACCUCCACUCAAAGUCAAAACCAGGUCACUGUGGCUCCAUUAACUGGGAAGGAAAUCGUCGGGUGUCCCAUGUGAAGGAGGACCGUAGUUAAAGCCGCACCACGAGGAGCUGUGCAACGAGCUGGAGGAAGACGGGAAACUGGUUUAGUGACCAGUUCACAAAACACUGGGGUUUUGCUACAUGGUGUAUUACCAAUAGGAAUAUUUAGCUAAAUGCUCCAAUGGGCUCAGCAGCUCCACACGCCUUCCUGCUGCUUGCUCCAGGCUACAAACACACAGGAGCUCAAAGGCCAAACACCCCUUUUUCGUUCCGAUAUCAAUGAUGACCUGUAUGUGUGCACGGAGCUUUAACCAGGAAAGAUGGAGACCAUUCCUAAACCCAUUCCGGAUCUCUAGAUCUCCCAAGCAAUCAGUUUUAAAUGCAGACUAAUCUGCGUUUAUCAUCUACCAACCAUUUAAGCAGCACUGUGCUGCCAGGAGAAGGUGGUGGACCUGAGUGAUGUGACUAGCGGGCGUUUAGAUGCUGGGAGGCCUUCGAGCUGAGAAACAACACUUCUGUUGCCAACGUACACACGUUUUUCCCUGUAGAUGGUCUAUGCAGCAGUGAUGGAGAACAGUAGUUAUGAGAGAUGAUGAGAGGGAAACGGAAAGGUUGUGAAGACUUCUUUCCAAGAAAGCAGAAGAUCAAGGUUCCCAUGAACAAAGGAUUGAUCAUACGUCAGGCUAUUUUUAGCCGUAGGUCCAUGUCCAGACUUUUGGUCUCCGCUGGGAAUGUGUAAUUGAUGAAGGGGACACAGGCCUGAUACAACAUCUUCAGAUAAAUCAAAUCAUGUUCACGUUCCAAAAUAUGGACGUAUCUCAGCCAAAGCCAGCGGGCUUGGCGAAGGACUCUCACACACGCACAAGAUGUAAGAUAAGUUGUGGAGAAGACAAACCAGAAACAGCGUGGAGGAGAAUGUCUGGAAUUUAACCCACCGCCAGUAUCUGACCGUCCACGCCCCCGCGACCCGGGGGGCCUCCACCCGCUCACACAAACACAGGUAACGCCCGACGCCGACCGCGAACAUCUGCUCUGCUCACACUACCUGUUCUCAGCCCGGCGCAGAUGUUUGGUACAGCCUCCCCCCUCCCCCCCCAGUCCACUUCCUCCUAGGCACUGGGAAGCCUCCCUGGCGCUGGGAUCCCGGCGCAGAGCGCGGCCGCGGUUCCUGCUCGCUUUGAAGCACAUUAAGGUCAUGUCCACCGCGCAGUGGCCCGUCUCCGCCGCAGCAGGGAGAGACCUCAGCUCAGCACCACUGGAGGGACGGAGAAAAGGGGUUGCCGGGAUCCAGCGUGGUCAGCCAGGAAUAGCUCCCUGAACUAAAAAGGAAAAGUUAUAAGGGACAGAAGAGACGGGCCAGGUGGUGGUGGUGGUGCGGGAACAAGGACAAGCAUCUCUGCGCCUACGUCACACAAAGCACAGUGGAACAAAGCCAAGAACAGCUUGGAUCAGACGUUACCAGAAGACGAAUGGUGUGAGGCUCAUGUCCUCGCAGUGGGUACGGUGGGACAACGAGGAGCAGUGUAAGGCAGACGUGAGCACAUUUUCAGUGUGCGUUGGUGGGCUCUCCAGAUACACAACCUGUGACAACCGGACAAAAGCAACAUCACUCUUUUAUUCUCAGGUCAAACUGGAAGCACGUGGGGGGGGGGGGGGGGGGUGUUUGUUCAGUCUUUUGUUUGGUUGCUGUGUACAUUUAUUUUACAGAACCCUCAGGUUUUUCCUACAGGUUCUUUACCUCCGUCACACGCACUGUGGCAAUAAAAAGCAAAGCCGUCCGGUACAUUUUCACACUGACAUCACUGUCCUCGUGUUCGUCAUUUGUCAAGGACUCUUGAGCUGAAUUAUGCGUCAAGGACAGUGCCGUGUCCCUGAGCGGAGACAGAGACCGGGGUGAUGUGGAGGAAGAGAAAGCCGAGUCGAGGGAGACGACGGGCGAGAUAGGCAGCAGGAGGACGAUACGGAGUCUGCUGCACCGCUCAGCUGUCCGAGGAGACUCACACCAGGACCAGUCCCCGGAGGAGGGAGGACCAGGAGUCCUGACCACUGAGGACUGAGGCCUUCCUGAGGAAACUGUCCACGAUUUGAGAACGAACACCAUCAUUUUCUGUACGGCAGCAUUACGGUUGCUAACCUCAGCCACAAGGAGCUACCGGUCGUACCACAGCGUGUGCGGUGGCCACAGAUAAAGUGGAGCGUGUAUAAAGGAAAGAGGACACGUUAAGGAUUAGCACCGCAGCAAAGACAGAUUCCCUUCAGACAUCAUAAGUGAAC